rnacentral:snoRNA from 1 species
ACCUUUCUAAAAGCACUCAGAGGGCCUUUUGCUAAUGACCCACUGAGCCGUCAAGAAAGGGCAUAGUGAAAACACCACUUUUGGGUGAGGCGGCAGCAUGUUGUGUUGUUUUGUUUCAAUCAGUGGUGUGACAAGG